rnacentral:rRNA from 1 species
UACGUAGGGGGCAAGCGUUGUCCGGAAUCAUUGGGCGUAAAGAGCGUGUAGGCGGCCCGGUAAGUCCGCUGUGAAAGUCCAGGGCUCAACCCUGGGAUGCCGGUGGAUACUGUCGGGCUCGAGUCCGGAAGAGGAGUGUGGAAUUCCUGGUGUAGCGGUGAAAUGCGCAGAUAUCAGGAGGAACACCAAUGGCGAAGGCAGCACUCUGGGACGUGACUGACGCUAAGACGCGAAAGCGUGGGGAGCAAACAGG